CCCGUCCCGUCCCGUCCCACGGCGGGGGCGAUGCUCCCCUCGCUGCGCUGCCCGCGGAUCCCUCCCUGCUGAUUCGUUUUAGACAGUUUGCCCGGCGCGGGAUCAUCCCCCGGAGAGCCCCGCAUCCCGGCGGCAGCACCGAGCCUCGGCGAUGCGCUAUUUCAUUCCUGGAAAGCUCCAGCUCCAGAGAUAAAAUCUAAGUGGAUUCAGAGAACCUGAAAGGAUCGCAUGCUUCAUGGCUUUCCCCUCAGUAAUGUGGGAGAUAAACAGGAUGUAAUAAAGGAUCUGUCCCUCCUUGGAAAAGGGCCAUUUCCCGUCACCUGUAUUUUUGUGGCACCGUCAUGCCAGGGAUGCUCUUAGUCACCGGUGACAAGAUAAAGAGGCUGCUGGUCCCUGCUGCUGGCGGGUGUCUGAGGCUGGAACAGGCCCUGGGAUGACACACUGUCUCUUGAUUUACCACCUCUGCUCUCUAUCCAGCAGCAUUCCCACUGCUGGGACGUGGCCUGGCAGCUCUGAUCCCUGCCUGGAUGGAGGGGACACGGGGAGGGUGGCAGCAUGCUGGUUUUGGCCAGAUAAGGUCAAGUUAUUAAAAUCUUGACAUUUA